GUAGGGUGCAAGCGUUAUCCGGAAUCAUUGGGCGUAAAGAGCUCGUAGGCGGUUCAGCAGGUCGGCUGUGAAAUCCCGAGGCUUAACCUCGGAACUGCAGUCGAUACUGCUGUGACUAGAGUCCGGUAGAGGAGAAUGGAAUUCCCGGUGUAGCGGUGAAAUGCGCAGAUAUCGGGAGGAACACCAGUAGCGAAGGCGGUUCUCUGGGCCGGUACUGACGCUGAGGAGCGAAAGCGUGGGGUAGCAAACAGGAUUAGAUACCCUGGUAGUCCACGCCGUAAACGUUGGACACUAGGUGUGGCGUUCCGACCAACGGGUGCCGUGCCGAAGCUAACGCAUUAAGUGUCCCCGCCUGGGGAGUACGGCCGCAAGGCUA
rnacentral:rRNA from 1 species